rnacentral:rRNA from 1 species
AACGAACGCUGGCGGCAUGCCUAACACAUGCAAGUCGAACGAGACCUUCGGGGCUAGUGGCGCACGGGUGCGUAACGCGUGGGAACCUGCCCUUAGGUUCGGAAUAACUCCCCGAAAGGGGUGCUAAUACCGGAUAAUGUCUUCGGACCAAAGAUUUAUCGCCUUUGGAUGGGCCCGCGUUGGAUUAGCUAGUUGGUAGGGUAAAAGCCUACCAAGGCGACGAUCCAUAGCUGGUCUGAGAGGAUGAUCAGCCACACUGGGACUGAGACACGGCCCAGACUACUACGGGAGGCAGCAGUGGGGAAUAUUGGACCAUGGGCGCAAGCCUGAUCCAGCAGUGCCGCGUGAUUGAUGAAGGCCUUAGGGGUGUAAAGCUCUUUUACCCGGGAUGAUAAUGACAGUACCGGGAGAAUAAGCUCCGGCUAAAUCCG